rnacentral:rRNA from 1 species
AGAGUUUGAUCAUGGCUCAGAUUGAACGCUGGCGGCAGGCCUAACACAUGCAAGUCGAACGGUAACAGGAAGCAGCUUGCUGCUUCGCUGACGAGUGGCGGACGGGUGAGUAAUGUCUGGGAAACUGCCUGAUGGAGGGGGAUAACUACUGGAAACGGUAGCUAAUACCGCAUAACGUCGCAAGACCAAAGAGGGGGACCUUCGGGCCUCUUGCCAUCGGAUGUGCCCAGAUGGGAUUAGCUAGUAGGUGGGGUAACGGCUCACCUAGGCGACGAUCCCUAGCUGGUCUGAGAGGAUGACCAGCCACACUGGAACUGAGACACGGUCCAGACUCCUACGGGAGGCAGCAGUGGGGAAUAUUGCACAAUGGGCGCAAGCCUGAUGCAGCCAUGCCGCGUGUAUGAAGAAGGCAGGCGGUUUGUUAAGUCAGAUGUGAAAUCCCCGGGCUCAACCUGGGAACUGCAUCUGAUACUGGCAAGCUUGAGUCUCGUAGAGGGGGGUAGAAUUCCAGGUGUAGCGGUGAAAUGCGUAGAGAUCUGGAGGAAUACCGGUGGCGAAGGCGGCCCCCUGGACGAAGACUGACGCUCAGGUGCGAAAGCGUGGGGAGCAAACAGGAUUAGAUACCCUGGUAGUCCACGCCGUAAACGAUGUCGACUUGGAGGUUGUGCCCUUGAGGCGUGGCUUCCGGAGCUAACGCGUUAAGUCGACCGCCUGGGGAGUACGGCCGCAAGGUUAAAACUCAAAUGAAUUGACGGGGGCCCGCACAAGCGGUGGAGCAUGUGGUUUAAUUCGAUGCAACGCGAAGAACCUUACCUGGUCUUGACAUCCACAGAACUUUCCAGAGAUGGAUUGGUGCCUUCGGGAACUGUGAGACAGGUGCUGCAUGGCUGUCGUCAGCUCGUGUUGUGAAAUGUUGGGUUAAGUCCCGCAACGAGCGCAACCCUUAUCCUUUGUUGCCAGCGGUCCGGCCGGGAACUCAAAGGAGACUGCCAGUGAUAAACUGGAGGAAGGUGGGGAUGACGUCAAGUCAUCAUGGCCCUUACGACCAGGGCUACACACGUGCUACAAUGGCGCAUACAAAGAGAAGCGACCUCGCGAGAGCAAGCGGACCUCAUAAAGUGCGUCGUAGUCCGGAUUGGAGUCUGCAACUCGACUCCAUGAAGUCGGAAUCGCUAGUAAUCGUGGAUCAGAAUGCCACGGUGAAUACGUUCCCGGGCCUUGUACACACCGCCCGUCACACCAUGGGAGUGGGUUGCAAAAGAAGUAGGUAGCUUAACCUUCGGGAGGGCGCUUACCACUUUGUGAUUCAUGACUGGGGUGAAGUCGUAACAAGGUAACCGUAGGGGAACCUGCGGUUGGAUCACCU